rnacentral:rRNA from 1 species
AGCGAACGCUGGCGGCAGGCCUAAUACAUGCAAGUCGAACGGCCCUUCGGGGCAGUGGCGGACGGGUGAGUAACACGUGGGAACGUGCCCUUUGGUACGGAACAACUGAGGGAAACUUAUGCUAAUACCGUAUGUGCCCUUCGGGGGAAAGGUUUAUCGCCAUUGGAGCGGCCCGCGUUGGAUUAGCUAGUUGGUGGGGUAAAGGCCCACCAAGGCUACGAUCCAUAGCUGGUCUGAGAGGAUGAUCAGCCACACGGGGACUGAGACACGGCCCAGACUCCUACGGGAGGCAGCAGUAGGGAAGCUUGCGCAAUGGGCGAAAGCCUGACGCAGCCAUGCCGCGUGAAUGAUGAAGGUCUUAGGAUUGUAAAAUUCUUUCACCGGGGAAGAUAAUGACGGUACCCGGAGAAGAAGCCCCGGCUAACUUCGUGCCAGCCGCCGCCGUAA